rnacentral:rRNA from 1 species
AUUGAACGCUGGCGGCAUGCUUUACACAUGCAAGUCGAACGGCAGCGCGGGCUUCGGCCUGGCGGCGAGUGGCGAACGGGUGAGUAAUGCAUCGGAACGUGCCCAGUAGUGGGGGAUAGCCCGGCGAAAGCCGGAUUAAUACCGCAUACGACCUGAGGGUGAAAGCGGGGGACCGAAAGGCCUCGCGCUAUUGGAGCGUCCGAUGUCGGAUUAGCUAGUUGGUGGGGUAAAGGCUUACCAAGGCGACGAUCCGUAGCUGGUCUGAGAGGACGACCAGCCACACUGGAACUGAGACACGGCCCAGACUCCUACGGGAGGCAGCAGUGGGGAAUUUUGGACAAUGGGGGCAACCCUGAUCCAGCCAUGCCGCGUGCGGGAAGAAGGCCUUCGGGUUGUAAACCGCUUUUGUUCGGGAAGAAAUCCUCUGGGCUAAUACCCCGGGGGGAUGACGGUACCGGAAGAAUAAGCACCGGCUAACUACGUG